CCCUGAAAAAUGCUGAAGGAUUCUACUUUUUAAAAUGAAAUCCAACUAGCUUGCCAAUCUCAUCCAAGACAAAUCCACAUGGACUCACACAACCUCUGGACACAUGCCAGUAACUGCCUCAGUGAAUGUUCCAGAUAGUAAGACGCUAACUCAGUGCCUGAGUUUGCCCUUCAUUCAUGUCACUCAGGCCGUUGUCAGAAGAAAGAGAGAGAUUCUGGAAAUUUCUUGCUGAACUAAAAAUAAGGAAGCCAUCUGGGAGAGUAAUCUACUGCUUUGUUCGUUUUGUUGAGCACCAUCAAUCAGGAGCCAAGGGUUGACAAAUACAGGCUGCAGGACCCACAGUCAUCCAACCUCCCACCAAGGGCCACAGACCGGGUGUCAUCGCAAUCACCGGUGACGACGUCAGGCCUGGGGACCCAAGGUCUUCCUUUGGGGGAAACUGCUAUGUGGGACAGACACACCCUCACAUGACCAUGCCUUCGAAGGAUAGCAAGUACCUAAUAAGGAAAGUACUAACUUAUCCAAUAAUGAGCGAUCCUCCAAAAUCUCCAAGAUACAAAGAUACUAGAUACCCUGCAUGCAGUGUCCACACUGUGGGAAUACAUCCAUCGAUCUAGAGAGUUCCGAGAGAGUAAGUGAAGAUUGUAUAACUUAAGACAUUAAGUACUUUACAGUUCUUUCUGUGUGUGUCUGAGCAUUGUGUAUUAAGAUGUGCGGGAGAGACGUAGCAGGACAUAUCUGUGUAUGUGCACCUGUCUUAUGUGGGUAGAAUUAAUUAUGCUUUUUAGUGCUGUUGGUAAUGAGCGUGGAUUGCAUCUGUUUUAUGACAAACAUGCCUCCCCUUUGGGAGGGUGGGAGCGACUCACCUGGGAGCUGGUAGGAGUCGGGGGUCUCAGGACUGUAGG